CGGCAUUGAGGCUGCCUUGCCUCCAUUUGUCCGAACUGUCCCUGUCCCCUUGUGCCACCUGUGCAGACUUGAGAAUGGAGCUCACUGUGGUGUUCAUGCCAGGGCCUGUCUAGCUCCUCACCCCACGAUUUGACCAGUGCCACACCACGGGACCUCGUGUGACCUCGGGCCUGCGUCCUCUGGAAAACAGCCGUGGAGUGGUGUGAUGAGGACAGGUGCCUUGGAAAGCAUCAGGACCUUGUGAGCACGAGGCAGCUGCCAGCACUCCACAUUCCCGCCAUGCUCUCCUCACCGUGUGGGCAUCCAGCUGGCCAGCGCCGCCUCCAUGGUGCCCCUCCCUCUGGUCGCUCCUGCGCAGCAUGCGAAGGUGUUUAUCUGCCCGCGUCCUGCCUUUUCCCCACACUGGCACGGAGGAGCCACGUGUUCGGUGGUCGUUCGGACAUGGUGAUUUGCAGGGUCUCACUUCGUUGCCUAGGCUGGAGUGCAGUGGCACAAUCUCAGCUCACUGCAGCCUCGACCUCCCAAGCUCAGUAGAGACGGGGAUUCGCCGUGUUGCCCAGGCUGGUCUUGAACUCCUGGAGUCAAGCGAUCUGUCCACCUUGGCCUCCUAAAGUGAUGGGAUUACAG
rnacentral:antisense_RNA from 1 species